rnacentral:rRNA from 1 species
GACGAACGCUGGCGGCGUGCCUAAUACAUGCAAGUUGAGCGAUGAAGCUUGGUGCUUGCACCCAUUUGAAGAGCAGCGAACGGGUGAGUAACGCGUGGGGAAUCUGCCUUUGAGCGGGGGACAACAUUUGGAAACGAAUGCUAAUACCGCAUAACAACUUUAAACAUAAGUUUUAAGUUUGAAAGAUGCAAUUGCAUCACUCAAAGAUGAUCCCGCGUUGUAUUAGCUAGUUGGUGAGGUAAAGGCUCACCAAGGCGAUGAUACAUAGCCGACCUGAGAGGGUGAUCGGCCAAAAUGGGACUGAGACACGGCCCAAACUCCUACGGGAGGCAGCAGUAGGGAAUCUUCGGCAAUGGACGAAAGGCUGAACGAGCAACGCCGCGGGAGGGAAGAAGGUUUUCGGAUCGUAAAACUCUGUUGGUAGAGAAGAAAGUUGGUGAGAGUGGAAAGCUCAUCAAGUGACGGUAACUACCCAGAAAGGGACGGCUAACUACGUG